rnacentral:rRNA from 1 species
GAUGAACGCUGGCGGCGUGCCUAAUACAUGCAAGUCGAGCGAACGGACGAGAACUUUGCUUCUCUGAUGUUAGCGGCGGACGGGUGAGUAACACGUGGAUAACCUACCUAUAAGACUGGGAUAACUUCGGGAAACCGGAGCUAAUACCGGAUAAUAUUUUGAACCGCAUGGUUCAAAAGUGAAAGACGGUCUUGCUGUCACUUAUAGAUGGAUCCGCGCUGCAUUAGCUAGUUGGUAAGGUAACGGCUUACCAAGGCAACGAUGCAUAGCCGACCUGAGAGGGUGAUCGGCCACACUGGAACUGAGACACGGUCCAGACUCCUACGGGAGGCAGCAGUAGGGAAUCUUCCGCAAUGGGCGAAAGCCUGACGGAGCAACGCCGCGUGAGUGAUGAAGGUCUUCGGAUCGUAAAACUCUGUUAUUAGGGAAGAACAUAUGUGUAAGUAACUGUGCACAUCUUUACGGUACCUAAUCAGAAAGCCACGGCUAACUACGUG